rnacentral:rRNA from 1 species
UAGUCAAGUAAUUAAGUGCAUGUGGUGGAUGCCUUGGCAGUCAGAGGCGAUGAAAGACGUGAUAGCCUGCGAAAAGCUCCGGGGAGGCGGCAAAUAUCCUGUGAUCCGGAGAUUUCUGAAUGGGGGAACCCACCUACUUUAAGGUAGGUAUUGCAACAUGAAUACAUAGUGUUGCAAGGCGAACGAGGGGAAGUGAAACAUCUCAGUACCCUUAGGAAAAGAAAUCAAUUGAGAUUCCCUCAGUAGCGGCGAGCGAACGGGGAUCAGCCCAUUAAGUUAUGUGUGUUCUAGUGGAACGCUCUGGGAAGUGCGAACGUAGAGGGUGAUAUUCCCGUACACGAAAGGGCACACAUAAUGAUGACGAGUAGGGCGAGGCACGUGAAACCUUGUCUGAAUAUGGGGGGACCAUCCUCCAAGGCUAAAUACUCCUGACUGACCGAUAGUGAACCAGUACCGUGAGGGAAAGGCGAAAAGAACCCCUGUGAGGGGAGUGAAAUAGAUCCUGAAACCGCAUGCAUACAAGCAGUGGGAGCCGACUUGUUCGGUGACUGCGUACCUUUUGUAUAAUGGGUCAGCGACUUAUAUUCAGUAGCGAGGUUAACCGUAUAGGGGAGCCGUAGAGAAAUCGAGUCUUAAUAGGGCGUUUAGUUGCUGGGUAUAGACCCGAAACCAGGCGAUCUAUCCAUGAGCAGGUUGAAGGUUGGGUAACACUAACUGGAGGACCGAACCCACUGUCGUUGAAAAGCCAGGGGAUGACUUGUGGAUAGGGGUGUAAGGCUAAUCAAGCCUGGUGAUAGCUGGUUCUCCCCGAAAGCUAUUUAGGUAGCGCCUCGGACGAAUACCAUAGGGGGUAGAGCACUGUUUCGGCUAGGGGGUCAUCCCGACUUACCAAACCGAUGCAAACUCCGAAUACCUAUGAGUACUAUCCGGGAGACAGACUGCGGGUGCUAACGUCCGUAGUCAAGAGGAAAACAAUCCAGACCGCCAGCUAAGGCCCCAAAAUCAUAGUUAAGUGGGAAACGAUGUGGGAAGGCAUAGACAGCUAGGAGGUUGGCUUAGAAGCAGCCACCCUUUAAAGAAAGCGUAAUAGCUCACUAGUCGAGUCGGCCUGCGCGGAAGAUGUAACGGGGCUAAAACUAUGUGCCGAAGCUGCGGAUUUGACAUUAGUCAAGUGGUAGGGGAGCGUUCUGUAAGCCGAUGAAGGUGUAUUGAGAAGUAUGCUGGAGGUAUCAGAAGUGCGAAUGCUGACGUGAGUAACGACAAAACGGGUGAAAAACCCGUUCGCCGAAAGACCAAGGGUUCCAGUCCAACGUUAAUCGGGGCUGGGUGAGUCGACCCCUAAGGCGAGGCCGAAAGGCGUAGUCGAUGGGAAAUUGGUUAAUAUUCCAAUACUUCUGUGUAAUGCGAUGAGAGGACGGAGAAGGUUAAGUCAGCCUGGCGUUGGUUGUCCAGGUGGAAGGAUGUAGGUAUGUAUCUUAGGCAAAUCCGGGGUACUCUAUACUGAGAUCCGAUAGCAAGCUGUACUUGUACAGUGAAGUGGCUGAUACCAUGCUUCCAGGAAAAGUCUCUAAGCUUCAGUUACACAGGAAUCGUACCCGAAACCGACACAGGUGGUCAGGUCGAGUGGACCAAGGCGCUUGAGAGAACUCUGCUGAAGGAACUAGGCAAAAUGGUACCGUAACUUCGGGAGAAGGUACGCUGUUGUUGGUGAUGGAACUUGCUUCCUGAGCUGAGCCAUCAGCAGAUGGGGUAAGACUGGAGAUCUG